UGUCAGCUGAUUACGUCACGUGAUCCGGUUUCGAGUUGUUUCUGUUUCAAAAUGGAGUUGUCUGAGUCGGUGCAGAAAAGGGCUGCAGUCUCUAGCAGAGCCGACGCUUUUCGACCUGAAAACUUUCUCCGUGUUGAUAGAAUUAGCCUUUCGCAGCUUGCUAACCGGCCAUGCCGACCGUAGUGUUCUCGAUCAACCUGAAUUGAAACCGUAUUGACCAGAAGUUGCUGAAACAUUGUCACACAGCUGCCACCACCUGCAUACUGGAGGGGGUCAAACAAAACGUGGACAAAUCCACUAUAAGCUUGUGACUGGAGGAUGUCAGGUUUGACGGGGAGAGAACAGAUGUAUUCUACAUCACAUACCAGGAUUUGGUGGGAAAGAUGAAAGACGCUGCCAAGAGUCUUGAGAAGGCUGUGCAGUUGUGAGCUUAGCCUGCUCGAACGGUGGAAUCCGGUUUCUCACGUGAUCUCCUCUGCUUCCUUCAUCUCCUGAAAGCACUGAAGUUCAGCGAUUUCAAGCGGCGUUGAUAUCCGCUUUGUAUUUUAUACUCAUUUCAUUCGUCAUUAAAUAUAUUUGUAUCCGUUCAA